AUUGGGGGGCUGGCUAUUACAUGCAGUCGAACGCAUUUUCUUUCACCGUAGCUUGCUACACCGAAAGAAAAUGAGUUGAGAAGGGGUGAGUAACACGUGGGUAACCUGCCCAUCAGCGGGGGAUAACACUUGGAAACAGGUGCUAAUACCGCAUAAUUCCAUUUACCGCAUGGUAGAUGGAUGAAAGGCGCUUUUGCGUCACUGAUGGAUGGACCCGCGGUGCAUUAGCUAGUUGGUGGGGUAACGGCCUACCAAGGCUGCGAUGCAUAGCCGACCUGAGAGGGUGAUCGGCCACACUGGGACUGAGACACGGCCCAGACUCCUACGGGAGGCAGCAGUAGGGAAUCUUCGGCAAUGGACGAAAGUCUGACCGAGCAACGCCGCGUGAGUGAAGAAGGUUUUCGGAUCGUAAAACUCUGUUGUUAGAGAAGAACAAGGAUGAGAGUGGAAAGUUCAUCCCUUGACGGUAUCUAACCAUAAAGCCACGGCUAACUACGUGCCAGCAGCCGCGGUAAUACGUAGGUGGCAAGCGUUGUCCGGAUUUAUUGGGCGUAAAGC
rnacentral:rRNA from 1 species